rnacentral:lncRNA from 1 species
ACUGUUAAGAGCCUGCAAUUGUAUUGACCAUGACUCAUAAAGUAGCCAUUCGCGAGGCCAUGGAAUGGUGCUUGCUGCAGCUAACCCUUCGUAUGGGCGUUAUGACGAUUUUAAAGUUUUUUCUUCCCUUUUGUUUUUUGAACUCUGAAAUUUCAGCAAUGACAACUAAUAAAACCUCUAUUUUUUCCCUGUGCGACAGAUUUGAUCUGAUCUUCAUUGUGAAAGGCGUUAGGAUGUACAGUCAAGAUAAAGACGUUAGCCAUUGUGAAAGACGUUAGGUUUGAUCUAUCUUUUUUUCAUUUCCAACCUGAUUAAUUAUGUUUUGUGUUUCCUUUACACAAUCAAAACUUUUCUCCUAUUUUUUUUUUUAUUUGAGACACCAGACACAUGAUUCAGGAGAUUCAGCUGUCAGACACAUGGUGGUGGAAUGGAGUCUCGAUUUUGUUUUGGAGAUUUGGAUAUUCAAAGGCAAGUGUGAUUAUUCCUCUGCUUGUUUAUGUAUUAUUUUAGUCUACUUGGUAUUUGAUAUAAGUCCACUGAAUGUAGACUCCCUAAUUUGAAGCAAUUCGGUACGUUUCCAAAACUUAGUUGUUUUAGUUGUUUGAUGAAAUACACAAGUUUAAUGGUGCAGUAUAAUGUUUAUUUAGUCAUCUAUCCACGUUUUGAUGAAAUAGUUUUAUUUGGUAUAAUGUUCAGGUGCAAACAUUAUUUCAUGACAUUAGAAAUUGUGCAAGCAAAGUUGGUCCUUCUUUUGUUCAUCAAAUGUGCAGGGUGUACCCCUUCGUGGUUACGAGGAUGAGAAAUGGAAUCCUAAACCUCUUGAGAUUAAUUAUGGUAUGCACAUUUCUAUAUCUGCUCAUCUGUCUGGUAGUCAGGAAAUGCACACCACCAUUCAUUGUUUACCAUAACUCUAUCUAUCUUGGUCCCCGCUUAUCUGCUAUUGAAUGAUUUAUCUCCGAGUUAGUCCUCUCGAAUGGUCAUUUUUUAAGAUAGCUUAAAUAUGGCCCAGAGAGAAUAUUAGAAAUAGAGCUUAGAUUCCAGUACCUUAUCCGGGAGAGAUGGCAAGGAUAAGCCAGUAGCAGAAGGGGUAAAAAAAAAAGCCCAGUAGUUCUGAAUGUAUGUACAUCAAAUUUGAUUAAUUUAACUGACAAGUUUUGAAUGUAUGUACAUCAAAUUUGAUUAAUUUAACUGAGAAGAAGAGGAAGAGCCAGCAGCUCGUGCUGAUCUUGUAGUUCUGAUGGUUGCAGGGUUAAUAUUUGAGCUUGUGAUGGUUGCAGGAUUGAUUAUUGGUAUUCUUAAACAUUAUUCCUUACCAGAUGUUGAUGGUAACUAAUUAGUAUUUCGAUCUAUAUUGAUUUAAUUAAGUUUGCAAGUCUUUUCUUGGAUCAUGUCCAAGUUUUUGAAAAUCUAAUUGUUUGUGUUGCGAAUAGCUAGCAUGGAGUCCUAGUGGUUGGAUUUUGGAUUAGAGGUUUGAAUCUGAUCAGGUGAAAUACACUGACAGAGAGGGUGCAGAUCGUCGUUGCACUGAUAGAGAGGUUUGUUCACGUUCUGUUGUUUAACCCUUUCUAUCCUGUCAGUGUGAUUCAAAGUUGGAAGCAAUUGGUAUUCUGAAAGAAGUUUUGAUUUUGUGCCAAAUUUCCGACUUGUUUUUGGUACCAUGUCAUCUAUGGAGACUAUGCUAAUUCCAUGCAUCCAUCUGUUUGAAUAUAUGCAUGCUUCCAUAUUUAUCCAUGAUAUGUUACAACUCUUUCGACUUUGAGAGUGGUUGGACCGAAGAUCUAAAUCUUUUGAUUGGAAAUCAGUCAUAUGAACUAAAUCUGUAGAUGUACAAUACAACUGAUGCAUUCACUUAGGAAACAGACAUUUUAGCAGUAUUAAGUAGCAUUAUUAGUAUAUCCCAAUAAGAAUGUGCAAUCAACGGAGGAGCACGAAUUGGGGAAACAUGAUGUGUAGAUAUAGUUUAUUACAUAUUUACAUGCUUUCCUUUUCAUUUGGGGGGGGGGGGGGGGGGGGAAAUUGGUUCCCCCUAGGUUCUAUAUAAGGAAUGUUGGCAAAACCCUUGUUUCUCGAACUCGAUGAACUAAGGUACAUUAUUUAUUGUUAUUAUUGAAGAAAAAAAAGUCUGAAUAUGAAAUGAAUUUGUAGAUAACAUUAAAGCUUUGUGUAUUUGAAUUUAGUUUUAUUAAACUAUGGUAUUUAGGGGAUUUCAACUUCUAAUGUUCUGAUCACUUUUUUUCCUAAAGAUUAAUAACUUCCAAUGCAUGUAAUUUGGAUUUAUAAGUGUAUUCAUGUUAUAGGAAUUGUACCUGGACAACAAUAACUUCAAAGUUUUACGAAGUGUCAUUCUCUUAUAGUCUUAGUAUGCAGUUUUCUUAUAAUAGUUUUUGGAAUGGGAUAUUGGUAUAAUGCUUUGAAUUAACGUUGAUUUUCUUUUUAUGUUGCGAUCAGGUUCAUAGUGACUACUCUGAAGAUGUUAGUGUGAAAGUGGAUAGUGCAACUGAGGAAACUAUUAAAUAAGGUAUGUUACAUUUUAGAAAUUGUAUCUGGACAACAAAAUAAAUAUCUACUUGACUAUGAAUUUUUUUUCUUCUGUAUCCAGAUGUUUAAAAGCUGAAAGGUGGAGAAUUGGUAAUGAUCUUGCACCAUGGCAUCUGAAAAGAGAAAUCUAGUGAGAUAUGACUGUAUUUCACGAGUCUUCAUUACUCAACUAAUAAUUGUGAAUAUUUUUUAUGUUUUAGUCAUUGUAUCUUGAAUUCAGUUGUAAAUUUGUUGUGUUAGUGAAAUGGUGAUGGUUCAACGCUUGGAAUAUUAUGUAAAUGUAUUGUAAUCUGUAAAUAUAUCCAAGUUUAAAGGUAUUUGUGUAAAUGUUGCUUUUUACAGGGGUAAAAGAGUAAUUAGGGGCAAAAGAGAAAAUAUUGCGCUUACAGGGGUAAAGGAGUAA